UGACUAGAAUAAAUAUCAGGACGUGAAAGUUGUAUCAUUUCAUGUCAUUUUGAAAAAGAAGAAAUAAGAGGAGCAAAGUUUUGUUUUGUUGUUGCAACUUCUUUUACUAAAUGGAAAACAAAGAAACAAAACCCACUGCUGUAAAUAUUGUAGAGGUGUGGUGUGUGUGUGUGUGUGUGUGUGUGUGUGUGUGAGAGAGAGAGAGAGAGAGAGAGAGAAAUAAUUGCUUGUAUUAAUAUGAAUGGAAUUCCAUUCAUGGAAUGAAGAAGGGCUUUACUGCUGCUACCUCCAGCACCACUUGAAAGCUGCUCCUAUUUGGUUGGGAAAUAUGCCAGAAUGGAAUGAGAUGUGGUUUGGAGUCUUGCAGCUGAAGGGGCGAAUGGGAAAACGCCCCAGAAACACUUCCAUUUGCAUGAGUAGAACUGAUUGCCACUAAAGCUUUGUUAGAUCCUAAAUAUUGUGUUGUAACAGGUAACUUCAUCUAUUAUGUAUUUGUAUUCAUACUAGGUUGGAUCUAGAGCUCUGUUGCACUGUUGAGAGGGCACAGGGCAAGUUAUGCAUGCCUGUCUCUGAUUCCCUCUUGGAAAGCUGAACUGGAAGAACAGUGUGAAAGGUAGUGUGUCUGUGUGGGCUGCCAAGGCGAGGGGAAAUCAGGGAAGAUACCUUAAUCUCCCCCUGCUUCAUCCAUUGGAGACAAUGAAAGGAGCCCUUCCAUUCACAUAAACAGUCUGGACCCAGCCCAUUAUUUUUGUACAUUUCUUAGGCAUUUGGCUUAAUUUACAGUCGGAUUUCUUAAGUAAAGUUGCUUGGCAAAUCAACUUAAAUUGCCACCUUCUCGAAGUCUCACCACAGUCUUUAAAGAUCAGCUGAGAGUAUCCGCCUUAAACCAUUAAUAUGCAAAAUAUGAACUAUAAGCAAAAUAAUGAGCUUUCAGUGGUCCAGCAGCAUCUGGAGGGAAGAGAUUCCACAUUCCAGCAUUAGGGCCUGAACAUUUCUCAGUGGCUUUUCCACAUUCCCAGGAUUUCAUGUAAACUGGAGCCUGAGUGUUUUUUAGAAAUGCUGCAAAGACUUGCUUGUUUUUGCUGUGUUUUAAUUGCCAGGGCUAAGGGCUAAACAAGUGUAGAGUAAGUUUAAUUCCUUCCCUGUGGUGUAUUUUAUUCUGCUGAUUCUAGGAUGGUGUGUUUUUAAUUUAUUUUUUCCAGCUGUGGAUGGCAUGGAUAAGUUGAGACGCACCUUUUUAAAUAAAUUGUAGAUAAUUGAAAAUCAGCAUUGUUGGAAUGAUUUCUGAUUAAUUAAUAAUGACCACAUAGCCAAAGCAUCUGUGCUCUCUCAGAAUGCAAAUAUUAUGGUCCAGAUCCAGAAAUGAUGGCACACUAAAAUAUACUAUGGUCACCAGGUUGUAAGUGUGAAGGAUCAACUGAAACAGGCUCAGAUGUAUUAACAUCUAGCCAAUGUGAACAAUAUUUAUUAUAUACUGUAUUGGCCCGAAUAUAAACAGCACCUGAAUAUAAGCCGCACCUUUAAAAUUGGAGGGGGGGGGAAAAGAAAAAAUACCUAAAUAUAAGCCGCUCCAUUCCUCACUGCUGCUGGCUGCAUACUGGGGGGGAGGGAGCUGCACUGUGUUGCCAGCGGCCUUUCGCAUUCCUUGCUCUUUCCCUUCCCGGCCUUGGGGGAGAGGAUGGGGGACUAUGCAUGGGGCGGGCGCUCCUGGCUGCAUACCAUAAGGUCGUGAAUAUAAGCCGCUCGGUCAGAAUUUGGGAAAAAAGUGAGGCUUAUAUUCAGGCCAAUACGGUAUAUAUAAAAUAAAUUCUUUACUAGUCAUAUUCUACAUAAAUUAUCUGGGUGACAGAUAAUUAGAACAGUUUAAAGAAACAUACAAUGCCAUCAAUCACUAUACAGUGUAGUGGCACAAAAAUCCAAUUAAAUAAUAAAAUUUAAAAAAUGACAUGGUCUUAGUUAAGUAGCAAUAUUCCAGGCACAGUAAUGUAAAUAAUCACAGGAGAGAGCCCCAGACAACAUUGCAGGGUUAAAACCGCAUCUUAACCCAACUACUGUGAAAAAACAGACUGACCAGAGAUGAAUAUAACAAUAGUUAAAUGGUGUUAGAAUUUGAAAAGGUCUGGAAAAUUGAACACACACACACACAUUUGCCCAAUGUGAGACAUGCAUUAACAUAGUUGCCUGGAGACCCCCCCCCUUUUUUUUAGGGUGAGCAUUCUUUAGGAAUAUCCAAUAUGGGAGAACAGAAUAACUAUCUAUAUUUUAUUGUGGAACAUGCAGAAACACAUGUGCUUUGAUAAUCUGCCUCCUCUCUGACUUUCAUGUGGCAGAAUCCUGCGAAGUAGCACUGAUAUUGCAGUGUCAAGGGACAGGAUAUGCAGCAGCGCAGUGUGGCAAAUUAAAAUCACUGGCCUGUGUUUGAUGUCAUGCCAAAACCAUGCAUAAACAAGUCUGCUUGGACUUGUGUGUCCCUUUUCCCUCUCCUUCAAUGUGGAUGCAAAGGGAAGAUUAGAAGCACUUCAGCUAGCCCAAAUGUGGGGUGGGGUUGGGGUACUAUUCAUUUAAACUGGUUUGCUGAAACCCCAGUUAAACAUAUUUUUUUCUCUUCAUCCUGACUUAUUAACAAAUUAUACUUUAAAGCAGGGUUUCCACAGCUUGCAUAUAGUAAACUCUGGUUAGUUUAAAAGAGGCAGUGGGUUGCUUCUGAUCUCUUGGCUGCACAGGAGGAAGAAAUAGACUUGCUCAUGUUUCCUUUUUUCAGACAGAUUUGUAUGAUGUGCCAUGACAAAUGGAUAGUUGAAUGCAGAACUGGAAGUAUAAACAAAUUUGAUAAAAAGUUGCAAUCCUUCAAAAAUGUUUGUUUAAAAGUUUUGCUACUUCAUACUACAGGCUGGCUUCUAGUAAGCAUAUAAUCACAUCUAUUUGAAGUUUGCGAUGGCCAAAGUCUUUGUUUCGAAAACAUUUAAGUUGUCAGCUCUUAGCUUUUCCAUGAGCUGUCAGUAACUGGUAUAUCACCUAUAGAUACCCAAUUUUAUUAGAGAGAUUAGGAAUCCAGAAUCAUCGUACAUAAUAAGAAUUAGUUUCAAAACAGCCCUCACAUUUUAUAUGCACCAUUAUGCUAUGUAUAAUAUUGACUACUGAAAUAUAUAUGAUUGGGUUUGAGAGCUCACAUUUAAUGUCUACAUCUCUGAAAAAUAAAAGGACAUUUUGUGAUGCUUGCCUAGACUCAUGGCUUAUAAUCUGUGCAACCUGAUGAUAUAUGCAUGUUUACUCUGAAGUAAGUCACAGUAUGCUCAGUGGGACUCAGUGCCAUGCAAGUAUCCCUAGUAAAAGAUAAUGCUGUGCUGUUACUAACAUCUAAGGGAGUAUAAGGAAAUGUAUAAUUAAAUAGCAGAAUUGAUGAGCGGAAUCCCAAUUGAAAUUCUGUAACAGAAGGCGGGGGGGAUAAAACCUCUGUAAAAUGCAGGUUUAGACGAAUAAAUGCAAUACUAUGUUAAAGGUAGCAAGAGGUAAUCUUCUGACAUUUUCCAGUCCUUUAUCUCCUGCUUCACUUUUUAUUACACAUCUUUUGCUUAAAUCCAAAGUGUUCUUUUGAACUCAGUGAAUCUUCCUUCCUGGUACAGGUUUUAUUUUUAUUUUACAAUUGCAGUAUAAGAGGAAGACUGUGUCACACUUUUUGAAAACAUACAGGCUGUUAUCUACUGUUGUUGUGUAUGUGGUUCAUUGAGAACAAACAAGCUAGACUACCUGAGAUGUUUACCUCAGUUGCUUUUGGGUUUUGUGUGCUUAAAAAAACUGAGCUGGUUUUUUAAAAUUUUAAUUAGCAGCCUCCUCUUUGGAGGGAUCAUAAAUCUGUCUGUGUGAGUUGUGAGUCUGCGCUGUGGUUGUUUCGCUGGCCUGGUUCGUUUUAAAUGAUGAUGCCCUACUUGCGAGUCACUGUGGGAAAGCAUUCGUGUAUAGAGGAGUGAUCUUUUUGUUUGUUUGGGAGUUUCUUCUCUACCUUUGGAAGAGCUGUGUGGUUAUGACUAAUAAACACUUUACUAUUUGGCAAAUGGAAUGUAAGUGACCAGGAGCUAUUGGUUGAGGAAUGGAAAAACCUGCUGCACAGAGUACAUCAAAGCAGUGGAGCCUUUGAAAUAUACCUGUGGAUGGAAAUUUUUCAUUUUAACCUGUCAGCUGCACAGAAUACAAAUCUCUGCUACACAGCAAGGUAUUUUGUUAACAACAUUUUUUCCCUGAAUGUACUAUGUCAAAACCGUGAUACUUGGAGUCAGGAUAGCAAUGGGGUGCCUCAUAGCGGGUUAUGAAAUGAUUUGUAGAUUAACAAAAUGACAAUUAAUGCUUUACAUUUCAUCUGAUUAGCAUUUCUAUUCUGAUUUUUUUUUUUUUUGGUGGCUUUGUUUUCUGCCUCUCUUUGCUUAGUGUUUUGGUUUGGGUAUAAUUGCCGACACAGUGUCUUACUCACAUCAUGUUUUCCUCACUUCUCAUGGCAUUCAAAAUGAGUGUCAUUUUCUUGUAUUUGGCUGGAAGGAACACCAUCUGUAUUUCUAGGAGUUAAAAGUCCUGGCUUUACAAUAUGCAGCCAUUGGGGUGAGAAGGGGAGAGUGUCAGUGGACUGACAGUCAGAGGUGAUUUUGUCACUGAUGGAACUCAAGGAGAAAUGGGUGAAUUUUGCAAGUGUUUUCACAAUUAGUUUGACAAUAAUUAAAUAAUGGAGACUUCAUAAAUUUGUUUUGUUUUAUACCAGUAGAGGGGUUUUUUGGGGGGGGGAUUUGAUAUGUCUAGUGCAGAUAUUUGCUUCAUUUUAAUUAAAAUGUUCCUUUAGCUGAAAAUUCCAAUAUUGUUUGAAUUUUAAGAUUAUUAUUCUUAUUUCACAAAGUUGGUUAGUUCUUUUCUCAAUGACUUCUGUAUCUUUUUGGACACAAAUGAUAUGGGUGGUUUUAAAUUCUUAAAAGUAUUGUGUGUCCCAUUAUUCAAUUGCAGUAAAAAGUUGAUUUCUAG
rnacentral:lncRNA from 1 species